UACGUAGGGGGCAAGCGUUAUCCGGAUUUAUUGGGCGUAAAGAGCGUGUAGGCGGUCUGGUAGGUCCGUUGUGAAAACUCGAGGCUCAACCUCGAGACGCCGAUGGAAACCAUCAGACUAGAGUCCGGAAGAGGAGAGUGGAAUUCCUGGUGUAGCGGUGAAAUGCGCAGAUAUCAGGAAGAACACCCGUGGCUAAGGCGGCUCUCUAGUACGGUACUGACGCUGAGACGCGAAAGCGUGGGGAGCGAACAGG
rnacentral:rRNA from 1 species